UACGUAGGGUGCGAGCGUUGUCCGGAAUUAUUGGGCGUAAAGGGCUCGUAGGCGGUUUGUCGCGUCGGGAGUGAAAACCUCGGGCUUAACUCGGGGCUUGCUUUCGAUACGGGCAGACUGGAGGUAUGCAGGGGAGAACGGAAUUCCUGGUGUAGGCGGUGAAAUGACGCAGAUAUCGCUUGGAACGCCAAUGGUGAAAACAGGUUGACUGGAAGUGUGCUGGACGCUGAGACACGAAAG
rnacentral:rRNA from 1 species